UGUUCUGUCAAAAGUCUUUAGAGUGCUUUCGGUAAAAUCGAUAUGUAUAAGUCUCCAACGAGAUGAACUGAAUAAAGUAGUUUAUUCGAGCUUGAGCCGUGAUCAAGAGCGGAGUCAAAUCUUUAAGUGUUUUAUUAUAAAUCGCAUUAUCACAAAGAAGUUUAAUACAAUUAAUAAGUUUAUUUAGUCUAAGAGGGGAUUAUUAUAAGUGAUAUUUAGUGAACUUUACAGUGGCGACGAGAAAGUGAAACGAAUCCACAGAUAGUGCCCCAGCUCAGACGGAAAUUUCCAGUGUGAGCUACGUCAUCAUCAUUAAUCGAUCGACAUUUUGUCCGUCGGUGCCUUCUGUACAGAUCCGAGAAGAGUGAAGGAAGCAGUGAGAGGAGAGAAGUUUAUGCAGAAUCCAUGAGCUGCGACUGCGAGCAAUUCUAAGUGAGACAUCAUUGGAUAGGAGAGGAGAGCGUAUAUGAAAAGAUCAAUGAGCGAAGUGCAUGCCGGUUAGCUGAGCAAGGUGCAUGAGAACUUGUGUCAGCAAGGUCGAAUCGGAUAGUAGAUCGAACGGAGUGUAAAAGCUACCUCCAGCGCGAAAGAGAAGAGAGAGACAAGCAAAACAGCAGAGCAGAAACAACAGAGGAGAAGACGACCACUGCGAGAUUUUCGGCGGUGAGACUGAGUAGUGAGUCGAGUGAGAAAUUGCAUUCGCAACGUUUGAGUGAGUGUCCAGCAUCUAACGUCGAUACGAAAUGUCGGUACCAGGUAUGAUUGGGACCAUUGAUCAUUACCAUACGGGUAAAUCGUUUAGUAAUUAUGUAGAGCGUUUCGAAAUUAUGUGUAAAUUGAAUAAAG
rnacentral:lncRNA from 1 species